ACAGAAGACGAAGAGCUGGAAUAGAGCUCGCCUCGGCUCUGCUGGCCUUGGCUGCAGCUCUUCCAGAAACCCGGGGCGCCCACAGAAGAAUCUCUUACCUGGCUCUCUCUUCAGGGAUGACAUCAUCGGCUCACACCAGUCUUCCAGGACCACCUUCUGGAUGCCAAGGCUGCUGCUCGAGUACCUGCUGUGCACCUCUACCUCCUGGUACCCCAGCCACUCCCUCAAGUUGCCUGCAUGUUAUAUGGCCUAGCCAAGGAGCACGGAUUCCAGGAACCCACUACCAUACAGAGCAACUCCUUGUGGACCCCCCUGGGAUCAGGACAGCGAGGGACAAGCGACAAAGAGGAUCAUCAGUGGCCAGCUAGUUUCUCUGGGGUUCAAACCUUGAACCAGUGCCCUAGUGAGGGGGCACUGGCCAUGGCCCUUGACCUUUGCUCUGCUUGUGUCUUGAGUCUGAGCCCUUUCCUGUACAUCUGUGCUCGUGUUCAUCUGCUAGUGAACUGGAGUGCUGCCCUCCCCGAGGAGGGUCGUCCCUUGUGACUGAUCAUGCUGUCCUAACAAUGUCCUGAGCAAAAGGGUCCCUUUGGGAACCUCUCAGGAGGGGGACCCGGGUCAGGGGCGACCAGCAUCUUGCUGGCAACUCCGUGGGUGGGGUGGGGUGGGGUGCUUCCUUCUGGAAUGAGCACGUGGCUGACCCCCCAAGGCAUGUCCCCUCCCCCUCCUCCACCCACCUUCUCGGAGAUGUCCCUUUUGGGGUAGUGGGGACAUUAGGAGCAACCUCCUAGGGUUGUUGUGAGAAUUAAAUGAACUGCAGCAGCCUGAGGCAGGGCUGGGCAGAGACCUCAGCACAUGUUUGUUGAAAGGUUUGCAGGUGGAUCUAGUCCUCCCGUUCAUGGCUCAUGUGUCUCAACCAUUCUCUCGCAGACUCCUGCAGCCCCUAUGCCCAGGGCUCUCCUUGCGCCAGAGGUAGGUGGGAAAGAGAACUGGGAGAGCCCGGACUCACUCAUGAGAUUGAACUUAAAUUCACACGGAGGACACUUGGACUCUUGCCACAUUAGCCCCGGCUUCUCGAGGCCUGUCUACACUCGCUGCUUUCCUUCCUCACCUCCAAUUUCCCCUCCAACCCACUGCUUCCUGACUCGCUCUUCUCCAUCGAACGGCUCUCGCUCAGGCCUGUCGCGUCUUCCUGUGCCAUUUGCUGUUGUGCUCAGGUUCCACGAGCUGCCCAUCUCCACAGAAGAGCAGCUGGCAUUGCCCACCGGCCAUGCCGGCUGAAGAAAAGAAGACUGAGGACCCCAGGAUGCCCAGCGCGAGGACCCCAGGAAGCCCAGCGCGAGGACUCCACCCACGACGCCCAGCGCGAGGACUUCACGCACAACACGUUGCAACCCUCCUGGAUUAGGCCAAAGCCAUCAUCUGGAAUCCUGCGUGGGACCCUGGACACACGGACACAGACACCUGCCCCCAGGACCCUCCAACUGUAAAUCCCUCUACAGCCACGGGGACGCCUUGCACAUUUCCUGUGGGACAUGCUGGACCCAAGACUCUGGACCCUGGCCUCCCCUUGAGUAGAGAGACCCACCUACUGACUGAUGAACUGCGCUGACCCUGGGGUCAGGCAUGUGGCCUUGAUCCCUACCCAUGGACCCUGAGACUUGGGGGGGUGGGAGAAAGGCUGUUGUGUCUUCACUGUUGAGUCUACAUCUGUGAAAUGGGCUCAGGUUCCUACCUCACAGGGCUGUUGUGAGGCAGCCGCAAUGUGCUUAGAAGCAUGGGGCCUAGUGGCUCAUGGUGCUUUCAAUAAAUUUCUUGUUUUAACUAAAGCA
rnacentral:lncRNA from 1 species